AUUCAACAAUGUUCCUGGAGCCUU
rnacentral:siRNA from 1 species